UUGAAACUUCUUUGAACCCUAAAAAUACCAAUUUCUCAUCAAUUCCUUCUCCUGUAUCAAAAUGAAGAAGUAGAAUUUGAACAUGGUUUUUCCAACAGAGAUUGUUUCAGACAUCUUGACCCGUUUAUCCACAGAAUCAGUCUUAGAAUGCAAAUUAGUUUGUAAAACAUGGAAGAAUCUGAUUCAUCAUCCAUCAUUUCCCCAAUUGCACUUAGCUCGUCUCAAUCACAACCCCGAUUCAACUGAUUCCGGUAAGUUGAGUUAUGUUAUCUUGAAUUCAGAUGAUGAUGAUAGCCAAAAUCUUUACUAUUUUGAAUAUGGUGAUAAUGAGGAUUGGAAUUUUGUGAAACCCAGUCGUAGAAAAAUCAUGUUGUAAACCACCUGUGAUGCUUAUAUCCUUAUCGGCUCGUUCAAUGGUUUGAUUUGUGUUUAUGGAUCUCAACCUGAUUUACCUGAUACUUAUGGACCUGCUAUUGUUUUUAACCCUGUCACGAAAGAGUACAUUGUUCUUCCAGAAUUCGAGAGAUUCCAGAAUUUGAAAGAGAUUCCUAUAGUCAUUUGGCGUGUGGGUUCGGUUACGUUGCUGAAACGAAUGAGUAUAAAGUGGUGAGGAUUUACAUGGUAGUGGGAAAACCUAAUUUUGUAGAGGUCGAAGUGUACACUGUUGGGAGUGGUAGAUGGAGACAUGUUGGGAAGUUUGGUUUUGUAUUUCGCACACAUGGUGUGUUCCUGAAUGGAGCACUCUAUUGGAGGAAUACUGAAGGUGGAAAUGUUGUGGUAUUUGAUUUGGUCGAUGAGAAUUUUCGCGAGCAUAUUCCGCCACCUCCUAUGCUAACGGACACUGAUGAUGAUGAGGAUAUUGAUGGGUUUAUUGUGAUGGGGGUUUCUGGUGGUGGGAUUUUAUAUUAUGCUGUUUGUCAAUCAAUUGAAGAAAGUACAUUUGAUGACGUAUGGCUGUUCAUGAAGAAGAAUGUCAGUAAUGAACAGGAGGGACACCAGUCAUGGGGUUGGAUUAAAGUUGAUAGUCUUGAACAAAGAGAACCGUUUGCAUUUAUGGAGGGUGGCAGCGUCCUAAGUUACGAACGGGCAAUUGCAAAAUAUUUAAUUCAAGAACUUCAACAUGGGAAACUGUUGUGAAUUUUGGUGCAAUAUCUGAUCAAGUAUUUCCACACAAGCACACCUUAGUUUCAUUGAAAGAAUUAGGAGAAGAAGAUGCGAAAAUAAUGAAGCCACGAGGAAUUGAGGAGAUAGAUAGCGGUGAAUCUGACAGUGAUUAGCGGACGAAGCAAAACUGCUGGAAACAGGUGUUUCCUGGGAAGAAUGUUCGAAUUGGACUAGUACUGGGGAUUUAGGGAUGUUCAUUUGAUCCCUUACAUCCUAUUCUCGAGGGUUUAAUAUUAGUGUUCAAUGUUGCACCACACAACCAAGUUUUCUUUAUUAUUUCUCAUGCAUCUUUUUGGAUUACUGGAGAACUUGAAAUUGGCAUGUGUUGUGAACUUUGUGAGUGACGGAUAUAUGUUACCGUAAGGCUGUCUUUAGAGAAGCUUAGCUGGUUUUUGUUAUGAAGUUCCAGAUUGUUAUGCAAGUUUACUCUUUGUGAAACAGAUUCAGCGAACUUAUAGUAUUGUUAGUUUCUCCCUCUUUUACUGGUUCUUGUUAAAUUGCUACUAGGUCAAGCCAGUCAAUUUCAUGUUAUUGUUAGGGAUGCGCAUCAUCGCUGCAGAUACUAAAAUGUUAGCACUUGUGGUUUCGGUUUGAAUCAGGAACGUCCGUGAGGCCAAAAUCCAAGAAUGUAGGUAUUCUGAGCAGAUUCUCUCUCGGCUUUCCUUCUAUCUUGUUUACAUGUGAAGUGUGCAGGACUUUUGCCACAUAUCAAGCAUGACCCGACUUGAGGAUCACAUAACAGAGAGCGCUGCUAAGACUGCUACUGGGGAAGAUGCAGAGGUUCUUCGCUGAUGCUUCGUUCAUUCAUAUUUGAUUGAGCACCUAAAAAUGUUUGCCUAAGCUGAAACGCUAACAUGUAAUCAUCUUUCUUUGCAAUGAAAAAUGAAGACAGACUGCAGGGGGGUUUGGCGUGUAAACGGAAAAAAAGAAGGGUGAUGCCAUCAUAUCUGCAUAGAUUUAUGAACAUCUAUAUCCUCCAAUAAUCCAAUUGCUAUUCUCCUUAUUUAAGUAGUAUACAGAAACCCAUUAGCAUGAGCUUUAAGGGUGCCAAUACUAGUCUCUUCAGCUCCUACAUUGGGAUAGAUUAAUUUGGGUAGAUUAAUUUGACGUCACUUAGCUUUAUAACCCUGUGUUGUUUUUGUUUUUUGUUAGCAUGACCACCCACUUUGCCAGAACCACAUUUUCUCCCAGUCAUUCUCUUUAACUUUAAUAAAUCUUCUGCUGUCAGAGAUUGUUUUUCAGAAGCAUAUGCUGUUCUAGGAUUGAACCCAGCUAACAAUCUCUUUUUAUUACUCUAUUUAAAUAGUGAGCAAGUCUUGCCUGAUUAUAACUUACGUUUCUCCUCCAUAUACAUCUCUGGGUUGGCAGAGACAUCAAAUCCAUGCCAACGGUGGCGGUCUUGACAGGGGCGACGCUGAGAACAAGAUUUCAGGUGUUCGAGGAAGGCUUGCCAGUUGUCGGGUUCAUCGUAUUUAGGAUCUACUCAUCUCCAACUGCAUUGAAAAGAGCGGUAAAACAAACUGCGAAAACAAGUGUAUAUUUCCGAAAACUCUAGAGCGAAAAACUGGGGACAAAAAACUAACAUAUGCCUGAACCUAGAUCGUUUAGUUCCCAAAACUGGGUAUUCCGACUACUACCACUUAGUGCUGGCAGUAGGAUGGAGUGGUACAAUCCUGAUUGUCGCAGUGCAGUUGAGGAGAAAAAAGUUCUAAACUUUGUGCGUGCCGAACUUGGAUGUCUAUGCGCACCUGGAAAAAUAGAUGCGAAUCCCUACAACUUUCAGUACGAAAGAGCAAAAUAAGGCAACACAGUAUAUGGUUACAAGCAAUGAUGCCGUUUUUACUACGCGUCUAUGUAAAGAAUGUAUCACAGCCGUCUAUGAUCAAACUUUGGUCAGCAAUUGUGGUCGGUCAUAAAAUUGGUGUGAGCCGUUCAAUCUAAGAGUGACAACAGAUCAACGACUACAAUUUAACCCUAAUCUGAACAGUCUCUCAAAUCCUUACAAGUAGAAUAGUUGGCUCGUUUCUAUUCCGCCUCCGUCUAUCUUCUAGCUGCGCACAGAAAGAAAAUCCAAAACAGCAAAUCCAACUCUCUUGUUCAUGAUCCAUCAAUGGAAGUAGAAAUAUCAAAUACAUGGCCAUCAAUAACUUCCUUACACAAUGAUUUUUCCUCUCAACAAAUUAUUUUAAUGUUUCCUUUACCUCCUACCAUUUUCUUAGAUUUUUUUCUUUCAUGAGUGUCGAUCUCGGUAAACAAAUUAUUGGCAUCUAUUGCUUCUUAACUAAUUUUCCGUCUGGAUUUCAUCUGAUAUUGUUGUCAACGUCAAUUAUGGACAGAUUCAGAGAGAAGAUUUCAAUAGGGAGAGGAAUAUUUUAAUGGACAGCCUCUUUUAUCUUUAGAUGUUCUGGGUUUUGGAGAUUUAGUUUUUGUAUUUGUUUUAAGCUUGUAUUCUCAUCUUUAUUAAAGAUUUUUUCAGUCUGUAUGUGAAGAUCCAAGCUUUUCAAUAAUUAUGAUUUAAGACUAAUUUAAGUUUGUUAUUUGCAUAUAUGGUUUGAUUUAUAUAUACUGCCUUAUGAGUUUUUACAGCAAUUCAUUGAAGAUACCAAGGAUGGUAACAAAGAUGGAAGAUUGUGGAAGACAGUUUAAAUUUGAUAAAAAAAAUUGGAGUUGCUCUUGUGAAUGGUGCCCAUGGCACUGCUAAGCUUGUUGGUUUGCUCGAAAACUUCGUUAAGACGUUUGUCCAGUGCCAUGGAUGUCGGAACUUCGAGACUGAGGGACCAUCUUUACGCAUUCUAGGGAGGAAAAGAUGAGAAAGCAAUGCGUGUCAAGCCCUUUAUAAACCAGCCAAGCAAACCAGAAGUUUGUCCAGUGCCAUGGAUGUGCGAACCUAGAGACUGAAAUGAUCCUUUCCCAAACCCUGACGCUCCAACUAAAAUGUGUUGCAUCUCACAUGAAGGACAAGCUCACGGCUUACAUCUCCGGAAUCCGCCAAGAGCAGCAGCAGCUGUGGAGGAUAAGAUGGGAAAGCAAUGCGCGCAGGGCCGUCUUAUUUAGGCCUAGGGCGAGAUGGUCGACCGCCCUGGGCCCAAACUUUUGAGUGGCCCAAAUCCAAAGUUUAGAGCAUUUCCAUUUGAUUGCCUGAGUUAUUAACAUCCGAUCAGUUUGGAUGUUUGAAACUCUCUUUGCAUGUUAAAUUGCACGAACGAACUUACGAACAUAUCUUAAUAACUUGGAUGA